CGAGCGGCGAACGGGUGAGUAACGGAUCGGAACGUAUCCUCGAGUGGGGGAUAGCCCGGCGAAAGCCGGAUUAAUACCGCAUACGAUCCCCGGGUGGAAAUCCGGGGAUGAAAGCGGGGGACCGCAAGGCCUCGCGCUCGUGGAGCGGCCGAUCUCUGAUUAGCUAGUUGGUAGGGUAAUGGCCUACCAAGGCUUUGAUCGUUAGCUGGUCUGAGAGGAUGGCCAGCCACACUGGAACUGAGACACGGUCCAGACUCCUACGGGAGGCAGCAGUGGGGAAUCUUGCACAAUGGGCGAAAGCCUGAUGCAGCGACGCCGCGUGGGGGAUGAAGCUUUUCGGAGUGUAAACCCCCUUCGACCCGGACGAAUACCUCGUAAGAGGGGUGACGGUACGGGUAUAAGAAGCCCCGGCUAACUACGUGCCAGCAGCCGCGGUAAGACGUGGGGGGCCAGCGUUGUUCGGAAUUACUGGGCGUAAAGAGCUCGUAGGCGGCCUGUCGCGUCAGCUGUGAAAACUUGGGGCUCAACCCUGAGCUUGCAGUCGAUACGGGCAGGCUAGAGUUCGGCAGGGGAGACUGGAAUUCCUGGUGUAGCGGUGAAAUGCGCAGAUAUCAGGAGGAACACCGGUGGCGAAGGCGGGUCUCUGGGCCGAUACUGACGCUGAGGAGCGAAAGCGUGGGGAGCGAACAGGAUUAGAUACCCUGGUAGUCCACGCCGUAAACGUUGGGCGCUAGGUGUGGGAUCCCUUCCACGGGUUCCGUGCCGCAGCUAACGCAUUAAGCGCCCCGCCUGGGGAGUACGGCCGCAAGGCUAAAACUCAAAGGAAUUGACGGGGGCCCGCACAAGCGGCGGAGCAUGUGGAUUAAUUCGAUGCAACGCGAAGAACCUUACCAGCUCUUGACAUGUCUCGUAUGGGGACCGGAGACGGUUUCCUUCAGUUCGGCUGGCGAGAACACAGGUGCUGCAUGGCUGUCGUCAGCUCGUGUCGUGAGAUGUUGGGUUAAGUCCCGCAACGAGCGCAACCCCCGCCCUUAGUUGCCAUCAUUCAGUUGGGCACUCUAGGGGGACUGCCGGUGAUAAGCCGAGAGGAAGGUGGGGAUGACGUCAAGUCCUCAUGGCCCUUACGGGCUGGGCUACACACGUGCUACAAUGGCGGUGACAAUGGGAUGCUGAGGGGCGACCCCGAGCAAAUCUCAAAAAGCCGUCUCAGUUCGGAUUGCACUCUGCAACUCGAGUGCAUGAAGGUGGAAUCGCUAGUAAUCGUAGAUCAGAACGCUACGGUGAAUACGUUCCCGGGCCUUGCACACACCGCCCGUCAC
rnacentral:rRNA from 1 species